AUUGAACGCUGGCGGCAGGCCUAACACAUGCAAGUCGAACGAGUGGCGGACGGGUGAGUAAUGUCUGGGAAACUGCCUGAUGGAGGGGGAUCACUACUGGAAACGGUAGCUAAUACCGCAUACCAUCAGAUGCGCCCAGAUGGGAUUGGCUUGUUGGUGGGGUAAGGUCUCACCAAGGCGACGAUCCCUAGCUGGUCUGAGAGGAUGACCAGCCACGCUGGAACUUGGGCACUGGCCAGACUCCUACGGGAGGCAGCAGUGGGGAAUAUUGCACAAUGGGCGCAAGCCUUCUGCAGCCAUGCCGGGGGUAUGAAUAAGGCCUUCGGGUUUGAAAGUACUUUCAGCGGGGAGGCGUUACCCGCAGAAGAAGCCCCGGCUAACUCCGUGCCAGCAGCCGCGGUAAUAC
rnacentral:rRNA from 1 species